AUUGAACGCUGGCGGCAUGCCUUACACAUGCAAGUCGAACGGCAGCACGGGAGCAAUCCUGGUGGCGAGUGGCGAACGGGUGAGUAAUGUAUCGGAACGUACCUUUCAGUGGGGGAUAACGUAGCGAAAGUUACGCUAAUACCGCAUAUUCUGUGAGCAGGAAAGCAGGGGAUCGCAAGACCUUGCGCUGAUUGAGCGGCCGAUAUCAGAUUAGCUAGUUGGUGAGGUAAAGGCUCACCAAGGCGACGAUCUGUAGCGGGUCUGAGAGGAUGAUCCGCCACACUGGAACUGAGACACGGUCCAGACUCCUACGGAGGCAGCAGUGGGGAAUUUUGGACAAUGGGCGCAAGCCUGAUCCAGCCAUGCCGCGUGAGUGAAGAAGGCCUCGG
rnacentral:rRNA from 1 species